rnacentral:rRNA from 1 species
GACGAACGCUUGCGGCGUGCUUAACACAUGCAAGUCGAACGGAAAGGCCCUGCUUUUGUGGGGUGCUCGAGUGGCGAACGGGUGAGUAACACGUGAGUAACCUGCCCUUGACUUUGGGAUAACUUCAGGAAACUGGGGCUAAUACCGGAUAGGAGCUCCUGCUGCAUGGUGGGGGUUGGAAAGUUUCGGCGGUUGGGGAUGGACUCGCGGCUUAUCAGCUUGUUGGUGGGGUAGUGGCUUACCAAGGCUUUGACGGGUAGCCGGCCUGAGAGGGUGACCGGCCACAUUGGGACUGAGAUACGGCCCAGACUCCUACGGGAGGCAGCAGUGGGGAAUAUUGCACAAUGGGCGGAAGCCUGAUGCAGCAACGCCGCGUGCGGGAUGACGGCCUUCGGGUUGUAAACCGCUUUCGCCUGUGACGAAGCGUGAGUGACGGUAAUGGGUAAAGAAGCACCGGCUAACUACGUGCCAGCAGCCGCGGUGAUACGUAGGGUGCGAGCGUUGUCCGGAUUUAUUGGGCGUAAAGGGCUCGUAGGUGGUUGAUCGCGUCGGAAGUGUAAUCUUGGGGCUUAACCCUGAGCGUGCUUUCGAUACGGGUUGACUUGAGGAAGGUAGGGGAGAAUGGGAUUCCUGGUGGAGCGGUGGAAUGCGCAGAUAUCAGGAGGAACACCAGUGGCGAAGGCGGUUCUCUGGGCCUUUCCUGACGCUGAGGAGCGAAAGCGUGGGGAGCGAACAGGCUUAGAUACCCUGGUAGUCCACGCUGUAAACGGUGGGUACUAGGUGUGGGGUCCAUUCCACGGGUUCCGUGCCGUAGCUAACGCUUUAAGUACCCCGCCUGGGGAGUACGGCCGCAAGGCUAAAACUCAAAGGAAUUGACGGGGCCCCGCACAAGCGGCGGAGCAUGCGGAUUAAUUCGAUGCAACGCGUAGAACCUUACCUGGGUUUGACAUGGAUCGGGAGUGCUCAGAGAUGGGUGUGCCUCUUUUGGGGUCGGUUCACAGGUGGUGCAUGCCUGUCGUCAGCUCGUGUCGUGAGAUGUUGGGUUAAGUCCCGCAACGAGCGCAACCCUUGUUCACUGUUGCCAGCACGUUAUGGUGGGGACUCAGUGGAGACCGCCGGGGUCAACUCGGAGGAAGGUGGGGAUGACGUCAAGUCAUCAUGCCCCUUAUGUCCAGGGCUUCACGCAUGCUACAAUGGCUGGUACAGAGAGUGGCGAGCCUGUGAGGGUGAGCGAAUCUCGGAAAGCCGGUCUCAGUUCGGAUUGGGGUCUGCAACUCGACCUCAUGAAGUCGGAGUCGCUAGUAAUCGCAGAUCAGCAACGCUGCGGUGAAUACGUUCCCGGGGCU